rnacentral:rRNA from 1 species
CCUACGGGUGGCAGCAGUGAGGAAUAUUGGUCAAUGGGCGCGAGCCUGAACCAGCCAAGUCGCGUGAGGGAAGACGGCCCUACGGGUUGUAAACCUCUUUUGCCGGGGAGCAACGGGCGCCACGUGUGGCGCCACUGAGAGUACCCGGAGAAAAAGCAUCGGCUAACUCCGUGCCAGCAGCCGCGGUAAUAAGUGGUAUGCGAGCGUUAUCCGGAUUUAUGUGGUUUAAAGGGUGCGUAGGCGGAGCGUUAAGACAGUGGUCAAAUUGCGGGUCUCAACCCCUGCCCGCCAUUGAAACUGGCGCUCAUGAGUGGAAGAGAAGUAUGCGGAAUGCGUGGUGUAGCGGUGACAUGCAUAGAUAUCACGCAGAACCCCGAUUGCGAAGGCAGCAUGUCGGCUUCCUACUGACGCUGAAGCACGAAAGCGUGGGGAUCGAACAGGAUUAGAGACCCCUGUAGUC